rnacentral:rRNA from 1 species
GACGAACGCUGGCGGCGUGCCUAAUACAUGCAAGUCGAGCGCAGAAGGUUGGUUCUUGUACCUACUGGAUGAGCAGCGCACGGGUGAGUAACGCGUGGGGAAUCCGCCUCUGAGCGGGGGACAACAUUUGGAAACGAAUGAUAAUACCGCAUAAAAACUUUAAACACAAGUUUUAAGUUUGAAAGAUGCAAUUGCAUCACUAAAAGAUGAUCCCGCGUUGUAUUAGUUAAUUGGUGAGGGUAAGGCCCACCAAAGGGAGGAUACAUAGCCGACCUGGGAGGGGGAUCCGCCACAUUGGGACUGAGACACGGCCCAAGCCCCCACGGGAGGGAGCAGUAGGGGAACUUCGGCAAAGGGCGAAAGUCUUACCGAGCAACGCCGCGUUAGGGAAGAAGGGUUUCGGGUCGUAAAACUCUGUUUGUAGGGAAGAACGUUGGUGAGAGUGGAAAGCUCAUCAAGUGACGGUAACUACCCAGAAAGGGACGGCUAACUACGUG